GUGUAAGUUACAAGCUCAAUCAAUGGAAGCUGGCCAGGAGAAAAGGUCCUUCAGGUGCAGGAAUCAGAUGCAAUGAUGAUGAAGAGGCUCGCAGAACCAUCAUCUGCUUCUUUGGACACACUGGUUGAGUCGUCGUUCUCUUGUUUCAUACAAAUGUCAAUCCGAUGACAACGUUCACUGCAGUUAUGUAAAUCCAGGUGGAUUUUGAUAGGCUGUCUUAAUUGCUCAUCCAAAAAAAUAAGCAUGAGUCCCUCCUGUUGCAGGGUUCGAGACAUGGUCUUUCGGAUAAGAGACCCCACAGUAUCUAGAGCAUCUCAAUAGACCAGUAUCUCAGCAGGAGAGCCAGACAUGCCUUCUACGUCUGCAUUAACAAUGAGGC
ensembl:lncRNA